rnacentral:lncRNA from 1 species
GGGGUAACAAACUAAAACUGAGGGAAACGCAUUAAAUAUAAGAGGAGAACAACGACACAACACUACAAUGUAACACACACAAAAACGGACCGAGAGCAACAGACAAAAUCCCAUGAGAAUAACAAAUAUAACAUCAAAACCAAAUACAUGAAUUUGGGAUAGACAAGUACCGUGACACAUCUUAUAAAAUCGGGGUAACAAACUAAAACUGAGGAAAACGCAUUAGAUAUAAGAGGAGAACAACGACACAACACUACAAUGUAACACACACAGAAACGGACCAAGCAACAGACAAAAUCCCAUGAGAAUAACAAAUAUAACAUCAAAACCAAAUACAUGAAUUUGGGAUAGACAAGAACCGUGACACGUCUUAUAAAAUCGGGGGUAACAAACUAAAACUGAGGGAAACGCAUUAAAUAUAAGAGGAGAACAACGACACAACACUACAAUGUAACACACACAAAACGGACCAAGCAACAAACAAAAUCCCACGAGAAUAACAAAUAUAACAUCAAAACCAAAUACAUGAAUUUGGGAUAGACAAGUAUUGUGACACGUCUUAU